AAUGUGGCUACAGUGACCGAGGAUACUAUUUGUGACGCUAUGGAAGGAGACGAUUGGACACAGCCCCAUCCGACUGCAGAGAUCCACACCAAUGGCAUGGUUGAACAAGGAGUGGACCAUACACAUACGAAGCCAAAGUUCAUUUCCAAUGGUGAUGAUGAUGAGGGUGUCAUAUUCGAAGAGGAUGAGGAUGAUGAUGAGAACGAUGGA